rnacentral:rRNA from 1 species
GACGAACGCUGGCGGCGUGCUUACCACAUGCAAGUCGAACGAAGUGGCGAACGGGUGAGUAAUACGUGGGUAACCUGCCCUCCUUUUUGGGAUAAGCCUUGGAAACGGGGUCUAAUACCGAAACAAGGGGGAUGGGCUCGCGCCUUAUCAGCUUGCUGGUGGGGUGAUGGACUACCAGGGCGGUGACGGGUAGCAGGCCUGAGAGGGGUACCGGCAACAUUGGGAGUGGGAUACGGCCCAGUCUCCUACGGGAGGGAGCAGUGGGGGAUAUUGCACAAUGGGUGAAAGCCUGAUGCAGCGACGCUGCGUGGGGGAUGAAGGCUUUCGGGUUGUAAACCUCUUUCGCUAUCGAAAGGGUAGGUGGAGAAGAAGCGCCGGCUAACUACGUGCCAGCAGCCGCGGUAAUAC